ACUCUUUGAUGCUACAGGCAGUGCAUCAGUCUCUCAAACUGAAGGUCCUGAGUUCGAUCCUCAGAAGGAGGG
rnacentral:tRNA from 1 species